rnacentral:lncRNA from 1 species
UUGAGCAUUGUAAGAAAUUAGGAAGACUUUUGAAUCUAGGAAAAAUUAAUUUAAGGAAUGGAUUAAAUUGUAGAAGUGUGAAAAGUGUUGGGCCAUAGUGUGAAAAUUAAAAAUAAGAAAUGACUAGAUUAAACGGAUGAGAAAAGGGGAAGGACUUAAUGAGCAAAUUGACCAUGAUGGUACAUGGAAAUGAUGAUAAUUAGACUUCAUUUUAAUUUAAUACUAAAAAAAGAUAGAUAUAUUUUUUUAUGGAAACUUGGAGAAACAUCUCCACCAUUCUCUUCUUCACAUGCCACCAUCAUAUCAAAGAAGAAAACGUUGCUUUCUUCUUCACUUUGGUCCUUUUUCUCCAUAGCUAACAAGAAUCACUUCAAACUUAAAAUUUCUCCAUAAAUUGUUAGUGUAAGUACCCAAAUUUAUCCGAGCCCAAAACCAUUAACCAGCCCAAACAAUUAAAAAAAAUAAAAUAAUAAAGACAAAAAACCAAAAUUAAAAUAGUCUAUUUACAUCAGCCCAUUAAUUAAACCUAGCCCAAAAAUACAAGGCCCAAGUGGCCCAAAAUCAAAAAACUUUCGGAAACCCUAGGUUUCCUUGGUGCGCCGCAGCCAACACUCCCAUGUACGGCCUCCGUGCGCUCACAGCUGGCCCCGUACCCCGUACCUGCAAACAAACGAGAGAACGACAGCAAAAACAAGAAGAAAAAUUUUAUUUUUAUUUUUGGAUUUCGGCUAUAGAGCCAAAGACAAUGUAUUGAUCUUUUUUUACAAACGCAUACAAAGCAACCAAAAAUUCAAAAGGUGAUUCCCGAUUCAAAAUUCUUAAUGCUUUUGAUUUUCUCUCGAAUUUUUUUCUUUUAGUCUUUCGAUUCUCGCAUUUGAAAACAAAAAAGAAAAUGAAAACGAAGUUUUACCGUAAGUCCACCAUGAGAUCCUUUUUGUUUUGCCCAAGUCGAGGUAUAAAAGAGAUCUUAAGGCUAAAAGAGAACCUUGAACAUGUUGAUCGUUGUUUCCAGUGGCGAAUCGACAUUCGAGAGGAAGGUUUUAAGGUUCGACUGAGGGAGAUGAAAUGGGAGGCUAGGGUUGUGUUUUUGGUUUGGCCAACUGAGUCAUUUGAGGCCUUUAUAAGAGAUCAGAAACGGUGCCGUUUACGGGAAGGGGGAUCCGCGCGUCAACCCGCUCCAUGACCCGGAUCCGCCUUUUUGUUCACCAAAUGGGAGAUUUACGCGGAUAGUCCUUCCGUUUAGCACAGACUUUUUAAUCAGUCCUAAUUCGCAUUUUAUUUGUUUUAAAUUUUUCCUAAAGUUUGCGUGGCAUUUCAAUUUAGCCCACGCCUAAACGCUGUGCUUUGAGAUCUAGAAUAUUUCCAGUUUUGAUCCCUGCAUAUUCGCGCGCAUUGCGC